rnacentral:rRNA from 1 species
UGAGUGGCGGACGGUGAGUAACGCGUGGGCAACCUGGCCUGUACAGGGGAUAACACUUAGAAAUAGGUGCUAAUACCGCAUAACGGGGGAANCCGCAUGGCUUUUCCCUGAAAACUCCGGUGGUACAGGAUGGGCCCGCGUCUGAUUAGCCAGUUGGCAGGGUAACGGCCUACCAAAGCGACGAUCAGUAGCCGGCCUGAGAGGGCGGACGGCACACUGGGACUGAGACACGGCCCAGACUCCUACGGAAGGCAGCAG